AUGUUGUUUUAUUGUCUUGUCCUUCUUUUCACUCGGUCACGUCUUUCACUUUGAGUGUAGCUGUCAGCUGCAGGCUUACAUUUGUUGAGCCUUUCACACGUCCAUUCCUUAACUGAGACCAUAGGAUGCCAGAAUACAGACUGCACAGAGUGGGUGCAAAUAUAUUUGUUUUUUCUUGUAAGUGGAAGUCAGAUGAAGAAGAACGCUGAGCUCUGGGGCACACAGCCAGAGGCAAUCAGUCAGGCGGCAACUUCACAGAGGCGAUAAAACUCUAGUCUUAAGAGAAUCCUUGCUGCAAUAUUCCAUGAAAUCAUCACCUCCUGCUGCAAGGCCCGGCUGGGAUACCUGAGAGGGAGGUUGUCUUUAUGUUCCAGUCGAGUAUGUCAUGAAUAUUAAGGCAGACGCUGUAAUUUUUUGUUAUGAGAUUAUGAGAAAGAUACAAUAAAUUAUAAUUAUUACCCAUCA